CAUAAAGAAAAAAAGAGAGAAAAAGCAAAGGGUAUAAAAAAAAAAAAAAAUUAAAAAAAAAAAGGAAGAAAAGGUGAAAUUAGAAACCCACACAAUAUUUUUCCUAUCUAUACUCUUGUUCUCGUCUGGUUGUGUUGGAUAACUGCACUUGCCAAGAUGGCUAAAAAAAAAGGAACAAAACCCACACAAAAGAGAGAGAAGAAAAAAA